UUUCUUUCUCCCUCAAGAUGCUUUGCUUAAAUUUCUCAGCCCUCAGGCUCUUCCUAAGGAUACCGCCACUGAUGAAGCUACACCAUCAACUUCAUCCUCAACAUCAACAGAUGCAUCACUUCUCAGUGCUGAUGUUUCCUCUAUAGCACAAGGUACCACCACCACAAGCUCUAUAAUUAUAGCUGAUAUCCUGCACAGCCCAGAGUUUAAACUGAUAAGUGUGUGCUGUCAUAUUGUUAG